UUAGCUCUGGAGAGCGGCCGACACGGCCCACCGAAGGGGUAUGUGGCUCAACGAGCCAUUGAUCUCUCAGGUAGCAAAGGACAGAGGGG
rnacentral:ncRNA from 1 species